AUGGGUGUGCGCCUCAGCGACAUGGUCAUCUCACCACCCCAUCUCAAACACUCGUUCGAGAUCAUCGUAAACAACUUCCUCCUCCUCGUCGCCACACCGGCCAUGGCCCUCGUCAUUCUUCGUAAAGCUGCACAGCUCGGACCCGACGAGAUCCUCUCCCAACUCCAUGGCUUGCGGCAGGUUCACGUUUUGCUGGCAGUCUUUCUUCCGUUCACCUUGGCCACCUUCUACCUCAUGAGUCGCCCUCGCAGCGUGUACCUCGUCGACUACUCUUGCUGCCGGCCUACAUCUAGUUGCCGCGUAUCCAUAGGCUCCGCCACCGAGAGCGCUCGCUUCUCGCCGUACACUGAUGAUGGCGGUCACAAGUUCAUGGCGCGCAUGCUCAGGCGCUCGGGCCUCGGUGACCAGACGUACCUCCACCCUUCAUUUCAUAAAAUGCGAUAA
rnacentral:rRNA from 1 species